GAUGAACGCUGGCGGCGUGCCUAAUACAUGCAAGUCGAGCGAGCAGACGAGGAGCUUGCUCCUCUGACGUUAGCGGCGGACGGGUGAGUAACACGUGGAUAACCUACCUAUAAGACUGGGAUAACUUCGGGAAACCGGAGCUAAUACCGGAUAAUAUAUUGAACCGCAUGGUUCAAUAGUGAAAGACGGUUUUGCUGUCACUUAUAGAUGGAUCCGCGCCGCAUUAGCUAGUUGGUAAGGUAACGGCUUACCAAGGCAACGAUGCGUAGCCGACCUGAGAGGGUGAUCGGCCACACUGGAACUGAGACACGGUCCAGACUCCUACGGGAGGCAGCAGUAGGGAAUCUUCCGCAAUGGGCGAAAGCUUGACGGAGCAACGCCGCGUGAGUGAUGAAGGUCUUCGGAUCGUAAAACUCUGUUAUUAGGGAAGAACAAUUGUGUAAGUAACUAUGCACGUCUUGACGGUACCUAAUCAGAAAGCCACGGCUAACUACGUG
rnacentral:rRNA from 1 species